AUUGAACGCUGGCGGCAGGCCUAACACAUGCAAGUCGAGCGAGCGGCGGACGGGUGAGUAAUGCCUGGAAAUUGCCCAGUCGGGGGGGAUAACAGUUGGAAACGACUGCUAAUACCGCCUACGAUUGGAUUGCCCAGGUGGGGUUGGCUAGUUGUUGAGGUAAUGGCUCACAAAGGCGACGGUCCCUAGCUGGUCUGAGUGGAUGAUCAGCCACAUGGGAACUGAGACACGGUCCAGACUCCUACGGGAGGCACAAGUGGGGAAUAUUGGAAAAUGGGGGAAACCUGGAGGCAGCAAGGCGGCGUGUGUGAAGAAGGCCUUCGGGUUGUAAAGCACGUUCAGCGAGGAGGCGUUACUCGCAGAAGAAGCACCGGCUAACUCCGUGCCAGUAGCCGCGGUAAUAC
rnacentral:rRNA from 1 species